AUAGUGGUGUACCAAGAAGGGAUAGUGGUGUACCAAGAAGGGAAAGUGGUGUACAAUGUAGGGAAAGUGGUGUUCCAAGAAGGGAUAGUGGUGUACCAAGAAGGGAUAGUGGUGUACCAAGAAGGGAUAGUGGUGUACCAAGAAGGGAAAGUGGUGUACAAUGUAGGGAAAUGGUGUACCAAGAAGGGAUAGUGGUGUACCAAGAAGGGAUAGUGGUGUACCAAGAAGGGAUAGUGGUGUACCAAGAAGUGAUAGUGCUGUACAAAGAAGGGAUAGCGGUGCACA